CCCUUAGAUGUUCUGGGCCGCACGCGCGCUACACUGAUGCAUUCAACGAGCCUGUCCUUGACCGACAGGUCCGGGUAAUCUUUGAAUCUGCAUCGUGACGGGGAUAGAUUAUUGCAAUUAUUAAUCUUCAACGAGGAAUGCCUAGUAGGCGCAAGUCAUCAGCUUGCGUCGAUUACGUCCCUGCCCUUUGUACACACCGCCCGUCGCUCCUACCGAUUGGGUGUGCUGGUGAAAUGUUCGGAUCGGCCGUUUGUCGCGGUUUCCGCGUCAUGUGGCUGAGAAGUUCAUUAAACCCUCCCACCUAGAGGAAGGAGAAGUCGUAACA
rnacentral:rRNA from 1 species